GUUGGAAAAAGUAAUUUAGCUCCUAAACAUUAAUUAAAUGCAGAUCUCAAACCAAUCAAGCUUCCACUCCCCCCACCCCUUGAUAACAAAUGGUUGCUUCCCUAAUGGCGUACCUGAGCGCAUGGACAUCAGCACAACUGUAUCGUUGUCGUUUAUCGCUUUGCUCAAUCGCAAUUCGCAUAACAUAAUUCCCCGGCAGCAACUAUAUGUUCUCCAUCUUUCAGUCACUUAGGUUGACCCGCAGGUCGGAUCCCAGGGACCCAGGUACCAGAGGCACCACAGAUACCCCCAGGACCCCAGGCCCAGGGAUUACAGGCUCGGAACCAAACGCCGUCAUCGAGGAUGUCGUCCACAUCGUCAACACCUUUUGCCACCCCGAAUGACGACCAUACCAGCAGCAACUAGACGGACAGCAGUCGCACGUCAUCGAUCGGGUGGCGACGCCAAUGAAUGGGUGGAUACAGGCAGAAAUCUUACCGAACCGCCUACUGAAGAAGGAAAACGGGCGACUGAAGGCAAAUAUAAGUCAAGAUACAAGAUGUCCACAGCAGCGACAAUAUCUACAUCAGCGGCAGCAACAUCUACAGCAAUGACAACAUCAACAGAUUCAGCGACAGUGAUGGCAGUAAUGGCAGCAACAUCAGCGACUUCAGCGACUUCAGUCACACUGGUGUGCCAGAUGGUGCCAUCUAAUCGAUGGUUACAGUUGAAUUCAAUGCAUGGACACAAUUAAUUAUGUGAUGAAGCAAAACUUGAUGGAUUUACAUUACAUCAUAAAUCCAGAUCACAGUGUUAUGAAUCAUCUGAACCAAUGCUGAUGGAAUUGAAGAAUCAAAGACAUGGUGCUGUUUGCAUUUAUUCUAGUAAGUCAAAACCUGUGAUUUUUACUCAUUUAUCAGUAUCCAAUUUUGCAGUACCUGUGUUUUUAUGUCAUGGAACUACAAGCUUAUGUUGUUGUUUUAUACACGCCAAGCUCAUACACAGUUGAUAUUUUCCGAAAGCAUUUGCUACAACUUGUUCAGGAACUUGAUUCUGGUCGAUCCAUUAUCAUGGGUGGGGGCAUGGGUGGCCCAGUCGUCUAAGGCGCCAUGAUUCGCUGUGCAGAGUUGCGUCCCUUGGGCACCCCAGAAACCUAUGAUUGUGGGUUCGAAUCCCGGUUCGCCCCAAUGUUUCUA
rnacentral:lncRNA from 1 species